rnacentral:rRNA from 1 species
ACUCCUACGGGAGGCAGCAGUGGGGAAUUUUGGACACUGGGCGAAAGCCUGAUCCAGCAAUGCCGCGUGAGUGAAGAAGGCCUUCGGGUUGUAAAGCUCUUUUGUCAGGGAAGAAACGGUGAAAGCUAAUAUCUUUUGCUAAUGACGGUACCUGAAGAAUAAGCACCGGCUAACUACGUGCCAGCAGCCGCAGUAAUACGUAGGGUGCAAGCGUUAAUCGGAAUUACUGGGCGUAAAGCGUGCGCAGGCGGUUUUGUAAGUCUGAUGUGAAAUCCCCGGGCUCAACCUGGGAAUUGCAUUGGAGACUGCAAGGCUAGAAUCUGGCAGAGGGGGGUAGAAUUCCACGUGUAGCAGUGAAAUGCGUAGAUAUGUGGAGGAACACCGAUGGCGAAGGCAGCCCCCUGGGUCAAGAUUGACGCUCAUGCACGAAAGCGUGGGGAGCAAACAGGAUUAGAAACCCUAGUAGUCCCA